AAAGGUAAGCUACUAAGAGCGAAUGGUGGAUGCCUUGACUGGUAAAGGCGAUGAAGGACGUACUAGACUGCGAUAAGCUACGGGGAGCUGUCAAGAAGCUUUGAUCCGUAGAUUUCCGAAUGGGGCAACCCAAUGUAUAGAGAUAUACAUUACCUAUAUAGGAGCGAACGAGGGGAAUUGAAACAUCUUAGUACCCUCAGGAAAAGAAAUCAAUAGAGAUUGCGUCAGUAGCGGCGAGCGAAAGCGCAAGAGGGCAAACCCAGUGCUUGCACUGGGGGUUGUAGGACUGCAAUGUGCAAGAGGUAAGUUUAGCAGAACAUUCUGGAAAGUAUAACCAUAGAGGGUGAUAGUCCCGUAUGCGAAAAACAAACCUUAGCUAGCAGUAUCCUGAGUAGGGCGGGACACGAGGAAUCCUGUCUGAAUCCGGGUCGACCACGAUCCAACCCUAAAUACUAAUACCAGAUCGAUAGUGCACAAGUACCGUGAGGGAAAGGUGAAAAGAACUGAGGUGAUCAGAGUGAAAUAGAACCUGAAACCAUUUGCUUACAAUCAUUCAGAGCCCUAUGUAGCAAUACAGGGUGAUGGACUGCCUUUUGCAUAAUGAGCCUGCGAGUUGUGGUGUCUGGCAAGGUUAAGCAAACGCGAAGCCGUAGCGAAAGCGAGUCUGAAUAGGGCGCUUAGUCAGAUGCUGCAGACCCGAAACGAAGUGAUCUAUCCAUGAGCAAGUUGAAGCUAGUGUAAGAACUAGUGGAGGACUGAACCCAUAGGCGUUGAAAAGCCCCGGGAUGACUUGU
rnacentral:rRNA from 1 species